UACGGAGGGCGCAAGCGUUAUCCGGAAUCACUGGGCGUAAAGCGCACGCAGGCGGUCUGGCAAGUCGGAUGUGAAAUCCCCAGGCUCAACCUGGGAACUGCAUCCGAAACUGGCAGGCUAGAGUCUUGUAGAGGGGGGUAGAAUUCCAGGUGUAGCGGUGAAAUGCGUAGAGAUCUGGAGGAAUACCGGUGGCGAAGGCGGCCCCCUGGGCAAAGACUGACGCUCAGGCGCGAAAGCGUGGGGAGCAAACAGG
rnacentral:misc_RNA from 1 species